rnacentral:rRNA from 1 species
CCUACGGGAGGCAGCAGUGGGGAAUAUUGCACAAUGGGCGAAAGCCUGAUGCAGCAACGCCGCGUGAGCGAUGAAGGCCUUCGGGUCGGAAAGCUCUGUCCUCAGGGAAGCUAAUGACGGUACUUGAGGAGGAACCCCCGGCUAACUACGUGCCAGCAGCCGCGGUAAUACGUAGGGGGCUAGCGUAAUCCGGAAUUACUGGGCGUAAGGGGUGAGUAGGUGGUUUCUUAAGUCAGAGGUAAAAGGCUACGGCUCAACCGUAGUAAGCCUUUGAAACUGGGGAACUUGAGUGCGGGAGAGGAAAGUGGAAUGCCUAGUGUAGCGGUGAAAUGCGUAGAUAUUAGGAAGAACCCCAGUUGCGAAGGCGGCUCUCUGGACUGUAACUGACACUGAGGCACGAAAGCGUGGGGAGCAAACAGGAUUAGAUACCCUAGUAGUC